UCUGUUGUUCGGAGUCACUGGGUUUGCACUAGAACUUGAAAUUGUGGCUACAGGCAGGAUGAUAUUUAUCAUUAUAUUUGCAAGGAUGGAGAGAGAGGAAAUACAUAUCCGGAAAGUGGAACUCAGUAAUAUUUUCUUGUGAAACUUGGGGGCGGGUCACAUCCGAACUUUAAUGGACAACUAGGAAUUUACCAACCUCCACGUCCUGGAGCCCCGCCUCUGCUUGGUUUCAGAAUUCUCAGCCUAGAAUACUUUCUUGCAAGUAUAUGUUGUCUGACUAAGAAUUCUAAUUGAAUUAUGGGAUAAAAUUAUCAUGCAAUUUAUGGCGAUUAUACUGGCUUUAAAAAGUCAUUUUAUGAACUGAACUCGAGAGAAUGGAGACAUUCAUUCCAAAGGACAGACUCAAGGACAAGAGCUGAUGAGUGUGGUCACUGAGAUCAUUUUUUAAAAAAAGUUUUAAAUUGAAAUAUAAUGUGCCUGCAGAAAAUUGCUCACAGCAAAAGCACAGCACGAGGAACAUUCCUGGUGAGCACACUGUGGAGGAGCACCCUGGAAGGCUUCCUGUGGCUCUGUC